rnacentral:rRNA from 1 species
CCUACGGGUGGCAGCAGUGAGGACUAUUGGUCAAUGGACGAGAGUCUGAACCAGCCAAGUAGCGUGAAGGAUGACUGCCCUAUGGGUUGUAAACUUCUUUUAUAUGGGAAUAAAAUGUUCCACGUGUGGGAGUUUGUAUGUACCAUAAGAAUAAGGAUCGGCUAACAUCGUGACAGCAGCCGCCGUAAUACGGAGGUUCCGAGCGUUAUCCGGAUUUAUUGGGUUUAAAGGGAGCGUCGGUGGAUUGUUAAGUCAGUUGUGAAAGUUGGCGGGUCAACCGUAGAAUUGCAGUUGAAACUGGCAGUCUUGAGUACAGUAGAGGUGGGCGGAAUGCGUGGUGUAGCGGUGAAAUGCUUAGAUAUCACGAAGAACUCCGAUUGCGAAGGCAGUUCACUGGACUGCAACUGACGCUGAGGCUCGAAAGUGUGGGUAUCAAACAGGAUUAGAUACCCGGGUAGUC